CUGUCUUUUCGUAGGUAUUUUGUGGGCAUUUUGUUUGAUUAAGCACAUGCCUAUGCAUUUGAGAAACAACCCUGCCAGUCUUCCUUACUAUGUAUCAUCCCAGGAGG